rnacentral:misc_RNA from 1 species
AACGCACAUUGCGCCCGCUAGUAUUCUGGCGGGCAUGCCUGUUCGAGCGUCAUUUCAACCAUCAAGCUCUUGCUUGCGUUGGGGUCCUGCGGCUGCCCGCAGACCCUCAAAACUAGUGGCGGGCUCGCUGUCAUGUCUGAGCGUAGUAAUACAUCUCGCUCCGGUCGUGCGGCGUGCUAUCUUGCCGUUAAACACCCCCCCUUUUAGCAAGGUUGACCUCGGAUCAGGUAGGAAUACCCGCUGAACUUAA